UAAUCACUUGUGUUUUUCAAUUCGACUUAUUUACCCCUUUAAUUUAUUACCAACAAGUGUAAUUUCUAGCGGUCGUGGGUCUAAUGAAACUGAGAAAUUAACAGGAACCCGGUUCUUGAUUGAGUGUUAAUUUCAAUUUCUGCAUCCCAAUUUGAAGAAACUUUCUUUCUAGAUUACCAUUAUAGCUCUGGUAUAUGUCUCAAGUUGACCACUGAUGUGAAAUUGAUAUGAGCUGUGGGUUUUCGACAUUGCUUUCGUUUUCUCGGUUGAUGCCUGUCAGUAUGACUCAGUUUGGUUGGCCAAGAUGAGUUGUUGUUCAACAUUGCAUAGCUAUAAGUUGUGGCGGCGCACAUUAUGAUGUUACUUGAUGGGACUUCAGGGUCGGAGUUCAUGUAUUUUGUGCAACAAAUGCUAUUGCUAAGCAAUUAAUGACUUGUUCGCUCACGGACUGGGUUGAAGGUUCCAUGGAAGAUUUUUAGGCAGAUGAGCACUCAAUAUACAAAAAUUAUGAUCACUUCUGUUAUCAAGGUCAAGAAGUUGUGAUGGUGCAUCUCCAUUGGAUCUGAGUACAUGAUUAUGUUACUAGAUGGAGCUUUAGGUUUAGUGUUCUUCUAUGUGGUGCAACAAAGGAUCUAUUUCGAAGAGGCUACUACUCCGUGAAGCUAUGUAUCUUGAUACUGUACUACCACACUUAAUUCAUAAAGAUCGCUCAUGGAGUUGAUAGUUGAUCGUAUGUUCAAUGGAAGAUUCAUAUGGUAGAUGAGCUUUGAAUAUAUGUACAAAUAUUUUGGUCGCUAUGGUUAUCAAGGUUGCUGACUAGGCGCUUUUAAUUGUGAAAAGAAACGUGAUAAUUACCUUUUGAAGAUGAACUAUGUACCUCUUUUGAUUGUCUUGAAUCAGCUAUUAUUGUAGGGAGAUAUCAUUGAUCACACCUAUAAGGAUGGAAUCCCAAAAGUAUUUAUGUCUUUGUUACCAUGAAAUGUCCUAGGAAGGAGAAGAAAAAGAAGAGAUCUAAGUGGUGAUACGUAUCAUAUUGCAUUUGCAAUUCACCAAAAUAGCCUACAAAUUCAUUGCCAUUGAAAACCUAAGGAAUCUUGUCCCAAAUAUAUGGUUCACCUUGAACCAUCCUUAAAAUGGAAUAAGUCUUUUUAAAGUCAAAGAUGUGCAAACUAUAUGAAAGUGGCUAGUGUUUCUCAAGUUCCAACUGGCAACGCCUAUAGAUGUUAGCGUUGUGGUGAAAGUCACCUGACCACUCUUGGUUGUUGUGCCUACUGCAGACUGCCCAUUAAUGGUAUCAAACAAUAAAUCGUAUCACUGACUCCAUGGAAAACUAUCCGGUGAAUGCACUGCAAGUUAAAGUCUUCAUCUGUUUUGCUGUGAAUAUUCAUAAACUAC